UCGGGAGCUUUCCCCGGG
rnacentral:snRNA from 1 species